ACUAAGCGUACACGGUGGAUGCCCUGGCAGUCAGAGGCGAUGAAGGACGUGCUAAUCUGCGAUAAGCGUCGGUGAGGUGAUAUGAACCGUUAUAACCGGCGAUUUCCGAAUGGGGAAACCCAGUGUGUUUCGACACACUAUCAUUAACUGAAUCCAUAGGUUAAUGAGGCGAACCGGGGGAACUGAAACAUCUAAGUACCCCGAGGAAAAGAAAUCAACCGAGAUUCCCCCAGUAGCGGCGAGCGAACGGGGAGGAGCCCAGAGCCUGAAUCAGUGUGUGUGUUAGUGGAAGCGUCUGGAAAGGCGCGCGAUACAGGGUGACAGCCCCGUACACAAAAAUGCACAUAUUGUGAGCUCGAUGAGUAGGGCGGGACACGUGGUAUCCUGUCUGAAUAUGGGGGGACCAUCCUCCAAGGCUAAAUACUCCUGACUGACCGAUAGUGAACCAGUACCGUGAGGGAAAGGCGAAAAGAACCCCGGCGAGGGGAGUGAAAAAGAACCUGAAACCGUGUACGUACAAGCAGUGGGAGCCUCUUAAUGGGGUGACUGCGUACCUUUUGUAUAAUGGGUCAGCGACUUAUAUUCUGUAGCAAGGUUAACCGAAUAGGGGAGCCGAAGGGAAACCGAGUCUUAACUGGGCGUUAAGUUGCAGGGUAUAGACCCGAAACCCGGUGAUCUAGCCAUGGGCAGGUUGAAGGUUGGGUAACACUAACUGGAGGACCGAACCGACUAAUGUUGAAAAAUUAGCGGAUGACUUGUGGCUGGGGGUGAAAGGCCAAUCAAACCGGGAGAUAGCUGGUUCUCCCCGAAAGCUAUUUAGGUAGCGCCUCGUGAAUUCAUCUCCGGGGGUAGAGCACUGUUUCGGCAAGGGGGUCAUCCCGACUUACCAACCCGAUGCAAACUGCGAAUACCGGAGAAUGUUAUCACGGGAGACACACGGCGGGUGCUAACGUCCGUCGUGAAGAGGGAAACAACCCAGACCGCCAGCUAAGGUCCCAAAGUCAUGGUUAAGUGGGAAACGAUGUGGGAAGGCCCAGACAGCCAGGAUGUUGGCUUAGAAGCAGCCAUCAUUUAAAGAAAGCGUAAUAGCUCACUGGUCGAGUCGGCCUGCGCGGAAGAUGUAACGGGGCUAAACCAUGCACCGAAGCUGCGGCAGCGACACUAUGUGUUGUUGGGUAGGGGAGCGUUCUGUAAGCCUGUGAAGGUGGCCUGUGAGGGUUGCUGGAGGUAUCAGAAGUGCGAAUGCUGACAUAAGUAACGAUAAAGCGGGUGAAAAGCCCGCUCGCCGGAAGACCAAGGGUUCCUGUCCAACGUUAAUCGGGGCAGGGUGAGUCGACCCCUAAGGCGAGGCCGAAAGGCGUAGUCGAUGGGAAACAGGUUAAUAUUCCUGUACUUGGUGUUACUGCGAAGGGGGGACGGAGAAGGCUAUGUUGGCCGGGCGACGGUUGUCCCGGUUUAAGCGUGUAGGCUGGUUUUCCAGGCAAAUCCGGAGAAUCAAGGCUGAGGCGUGAUGACGAGGCACUACGGUGCUGAAGCAACAAAUGCCCUGCUUCCAGGAAAAGCCUCUAAGCAUCAGGUAACAUCAAAUCGUACCCCAAACCGACACAGGUGGUCAGGUAGAGAAUACCAAGGCGCUUGAGAGAACUCGGGUGAAGGAACUAGGCAAAAUGGUGCCGUAACUUCGGGAGAAGGCACGCUGAUAUGUAGGUGAAGCGACUUGCUCGUGGAGCUGAAAUCAGUCGAAGAUACCAGCUGGCUGCAACUGUUUAUUAAAAACACAGCACUGUGCAAACACGAAAGUGGACGUAUACGGUGUGACGCCUGCCCGGUGCCGGAAGGUUAAUUGAUGGGGUUAGCGGCAACGCGAAGCUCUUGAUCGAAGCCCCGGUAAACGGCGGCCGUAACUAUAACGGUCCUAAGGUAGCGAAAUUCCUUGUCGGGUAAGUUCCGACCUGCACGAAUGGCGUAAUGAUGGCCAGGCUGUCUCCACCCGAGACUCAGUGAAAUUGAACUCGCUGUGAAGAUGCAGUGUACCCGCGGCAAGACGGAAAGACCCCGUGAACCUUUACUAUAGCUUGACACUGAACAUUGAGCCUUGAUGUGUAGGAUAGGUGGGAGGCUUUGAAGUGUGGACGCCAGUCUGCAUGGAGCCGGCCUUGAAAUACCACCCUUUAAUGUUUGAUGUUCUAACGUGGGCCCCUAAUCGGGGUUGCGGACAGUGUCUGGUGGGUAGUUUGACUGGGGCGGUCUCCUCCUAAAGAGUAACGGAGGAGCACGAAGGUUGGCUAAUCCUGGUCGGACAUCAGGAGGUUAGUGCAAUGGCAUAAGCCAGCUUGACUGCGAGCGUGACGGCGCGAGCAGGUGCGAAAGCAGGUCAUAGUGAUCCGGUGGUUCUGAAUGGAAGGGCCAUCGCUCAACGGAUAAAAGGUACUCCGGGGAUAACAGGCUGAUACCGCCCAAGAGUUCAUAUCGACGGCGGUGUUUGGCACCUCGAUGUCGGCUCAUCACAUCCUGGGGCUGAAGUAGGUCCCAAGGGUAUGGCUGUUCGCCAUUUAAAGUGGUACGCGAGCUGGGUUUAGAACGUCGUGAGACAGUUCGGUCCCUAUCUGCCGUGGGCGCUGGAGAACUGAGGGGGGCUGCUCCUAGUACGAGAGGACCGGAGUGGACGCAUCACUGGUGUUCGGGUUGUCAUGCCAAUGGCACUGCCCGGUAGCUAAAUGCGGAAGAGAUAAGUGCUGAAAGCAUCUAAGCACGAAACUUGCCCCGAGAUGAGUUCUCCCUGACCCUUUAAGGGUCCUGAAGGAACGUUGAAGACGACGACGUUGAUAGGCCGGGUGUGUAAGCGCAGCGAUGCGUUGAGCUAACCGGUACUAAUGAACCGUGAGGCUUAACC
rnacentral:rRNA from 1 species